AAUGAGAAGCAGAGAGACUAAGUAAUCAAAUUUUGUUUUUUAUUUUGUUAAUUGUAAACUUACAAGAGCAGGUAAUUGUACAUAUAGGAAUAGUUUGCCAAACUUAAUCAUUCAACUCUGCUUGCUGUUUCUCCAAAAAAAUGAAAAAUCCUCUUAAAACUAUUCCAAAUCAGAAAGAAAAACCAUUUUCAAACUAUCCCAAAUCAGCAUCCUAUUUUCUUUUUCUCUCUCUAAAAAUUAGUCAGGGCUCUUCCAUUAGGGUUCUUCCUUUUCUCUCUCUAAAAAUCAGUUAAGAUCUCUUCUAUUAGGGUUCUUCCUUUUUUCUCUCUAAAAAUCAGUGAGGGCCUCUUCCAUUAGGUUUUAUGAAGCCCAUGACCUCUUUUUUUUUCCUUCUUCUCUCCAUACACCCUAAUGGCCAUGAGCAAAGCCCUAUUUUCUUCUCUUCUUUCUUCCUUCUUCUCUCUCUAAACCGUAAACACAUAUGUGAAACCCAAAUUUCUGUAAGCUUAUUUUCAAUUAAAGAAAUUUAUAAAACUUUAACCAUAGUUGUGGAGUGACCAUAGUCACCAUAAUGUAGUUAAAUCAUUUUAAUGAGAAAACAAAAAUAAUGUAUUUUGUGGGGGCAGUUUUCAUACGGAUGCCUAAUAUACGCAGUCCAUACAUUUCGACGGCCAUGAUUGCAUAGUAAAAAAAAAAAAGCAAAACCGGUGAUCGUCGGGAGCGAUUUUUGCUUCCCUCAGCAUGUCCCUAUGCCACACGAGGCUUGGAGAUUAGACUGGAGGAAGAGGAAUUUAGAGAGAAAGAGCGGAUAGUUGGAUUGAAAGAGAAGAGGAAGAGAUGUUGAGAGAGAGAGAAAAAGGGGAGAGUUGGGGUGAGAAGAGAAAAAAAGGAAGAAAAGUUCAGAUUGGAAGCUUCGGGGUUAUAGGGUGUACAGUCAUAAGCUUGAGCUGCAAGUUAUUGAAGCUCAAAUCCUUCAUCAAAUUUUCCCGGGCAUCAUCUUUAGGUGACUUGGGUACCAUACAAGUAGGCCAAAGGAGAGGAAUAUAGUGCAUUAGACCUUGGUAGUAAGGAAACAAUAUUGUAUCUGACAUACCUACUAAGGUUCAACAUCGCAGAGUAUGAUAUGCCCAACCACGUACUUAAACAAUUUGGGAAGGUGUAAGGAAUUCCGAUUGAACCUCCAAAGUGGUAUAGGAGGGAGAAGGUCAAUAGACGCCCUACAAGUUGGAUAGACGAGUUGAAAUUGGAGAUAAGUGAUUGGCACGAACAACAACACCAUGUUGUUGAAGCUGUCAGGUGUUUGUUCUUGCACCACCCUCACAAUCCACAUGUGAGGAACCGCAAUGGAAUUUUCGACAUCGUAAGGAAAGCUUGCUAAGGAAGCUAAUGAGAAGGGGAAGGUUCCACUUAGCUAGCCAAAAAAAUUACAAAGGCGAAGAAAGUGAUGAUAUAGUGUAUAGAUUUGAGUCUCUUACAUAUUUGUUUUUUUAAUGAAUAUGUAUUUUGAUUAGAGCAAGUUCGAUUUGGACAUGCUAAAUGAAAGAGUAUUAUAUGCUAUAAGUUAUAUGAUAUAUACUUCUCAUUUAUUUUGCCUUCAUUACA